ACAUGUGUAUGUUUGUUGAAAUAAACUUCUCUUUACCUGUUCUUAUCAGCUUAAUAUCUGAUACGGCCCUAUUAUGGGUCUUUCGAUAUUAAAUGAAUUUUUGUAAGGCGGCGCCGAGUGCGGGGCUUGCCCCACCGGCGCCACGGGUCGUCCCGGCAUUGCACUGCCGUCGGGUGCGGCCCACUUGUG
rnacentral:snRNA from 1 species